GGCCGGGUAGCUCAGGUGGUAGAGCAGUGGACUGAAAAUCCUCGUGCCGGCGGUUCAAGUCCGUCCCCGGCCACCA
rnacentral:tRNA from 1 species